GCUCCCAAAAUUCAUCCUUAACCCUUUCUCCAUGGAAGAACAUCAACCAAACAUCAAAGGAGCAUAACUCAUUCGUUUUUGAUCCGAUUUGGGCGAUUCUCGCGGCAACGGAAAGAGGAGAUCAAUAUCUACUCAUAUAUCCCAAUAAUAUAAGUGAAUUAUAAGCUAAUUGAAGGAUUUUGGAUGGUGAAUUUUGAUGAUUAAAGCUUUGGCUAAGAGACAAUCAUCAAGAUCGGACGAGCGACUAUCGAAAAGGUUUGAGGCAAACGGAUCGAGAUAUCGUCAUAAUUAUUUGAAGAAUUUGGAUCGCAAGUGG